UCUCAAACACAAUCUUCUCUUUCGCUGUGGCUAAUUGGCGAAAGACUGAAUGAUGGACCGCCACAAUGUGACACUGGAUUCAGCGGAAUUCUGGACUAUGGAAUAUUUCCAUCCGUGGCGGGUAAACCUAUGUCAGCACGAUAAAUGUGCGAUUUCGAAAGAAAAGCUUUUACGGAGCUAAUGGGCAACGGCGGCAAUCAUGUGGAUAGCAAUCUACAAAAACUCGGGAGAAGCUUCCGGCUUCUCGCCACGCAUCUUCUGUUAGUCGAUAUGGGAGGCUGUUUAGAGUCAAGUUGCUUUUGUUUUUUUGCUAACUGAAGCAUUUGUGUUGUGCUCGCACGAAAAGGUGCUCCGGUAGAACAAUGGCAAGCCACCGUCGACCAGAGGCAGCUUCUCAGCCAGGCAUCUGACAUCUUGGGGGAAAUUUGCUUCUUAAUGCUGGUCCAGAAGUCCAAGGAGCUGAAAGGACAAGAAAAUAACAGAAAGGGCCCGGCAUUGCAGCCAUUCCUCCAUUUGGUGUCCGGUCUGCAUAACCGGCAACAGAGAGGACACUCAGUGCAAUUAAGUACCACUGCUAAAAAAAAUUUUUAAAAAUAAAAAGAGUAACCACGACAUAUUCUCAG